AAUGCCAACAAUUUAUUCACGAGUGCAGCUAAUGUGUGGUCUAAACAGUGGGCAUGAAUGGUGUAUCUAAACGAAUAUAAAUUGCAGAAAAUAAGAUCAAUAAAGAAAAGAAUCUUUAUGUCGCAGUUUUUGGAUCGGUGUUUUAAGCUGCUGCUCUUCUCGUUCUGCUCGUGUUAGCCAAAGGCACCUGUCCACCGGCUUUUCUUCUUCGACGGACGUCAUGCGGCUUUUCCAGCUAAAACGGCUACAGAUCGAUUGAGAAUUUUAUGGAGCGCGUGUUGUUUGGGGCUGGCCAACGAGAGCGCGCUGCAAUCAACCAAAAAAAAAAAAGUAAAGAAUGAGACAAAUUGAUAAAUGAUCGCUGAUGGGAAUUUAUGUGCAUUCUCGUGGAGCGGAAUUCACCUGUUCGACUGGAAGUGGAAAUGUUGGAAAACACAUGUCACUCGCUGAUUAUGAUGAACUCCCCUCCUUGAUGGCUAUAAAUAGCCAUAACGAGGCACACAAAUCGCUCUUGAUUAAUGCCGACCAGUUAGUGCAAAAUUAAAUGAGAAAUUGUCAAAUGAAACAUUUAUGGCCACUAACCAAAUAAAUUAUUAUUUAUGUCGCAGCCAAUGUGAAAAGUGACAGGCAACACACAUCCAACACACACAUGUGGCAAUAUCGGAUUUCAAACACAGCCAUUAAAUUAUUAUGGAAAUGUUCUCAUUUCUUUUUGCUGUAGUUUGUUGCUAGGCGUCACUUUUGCGCACGAGUUUUUGGAAAAUGAAUGGGCAGAAUUUUCCGAUCUUUGGGCCACACAAGUGAGUAGCUAAGCCAUAGGAUAAAUCAUUACUCAUUUCAAUAUAGUUUUUCAAGAUGGAUGAUUGGAACCAUAUAAAGUCUCUCUAUAUAGAUUCACCUGAAAAGCUUUAAGAUUCAAAUUCCAGCCACUUUAUAUGGCUACUAUACUAUAUCCUUCGAUGAGCGUAUAAAUAACAUGAUGCUAAUGAGCGCGUCGAAAUUUGUGACACUCGACAUGGAAAAACAGCCACACAUUUGUGUGUAUUCCUGUAUGCAGUGCAUAAUUCUCACACUUCGACAGGCCAACGAAAAAAAAAAAGAAAUAAUAUGAAGCUGAAAAGCAAUGCCCAACAAAUUCAAAUUGAAUGCCAUGUCGCCCCCAAAAGACC
rnacentral:sRNA from 1 species